UACGAAGGGGGCUAGCGUUGCUCGGAAUUACUGGGCGUAAAGCGCACGUAGGCGGCUUGUUAAGUCAGGGGUGAAAUCCUGGAGCUCAACUCCAGAACUGCCUUUGAUACUGGCGAGCUUGAGUUCGGGAGAGGUGAGUGGAACUGCGAGUGUAGAGGUGAAAUUCGUAGAUAUCAGGAGGAACAUCUGCGGCGAAGGCGGCUUCUGGCUCAUUACUGACGUCAGGUACGAAAGCGUGGGUAGCAACAGG
rnacentral:rRNA from 1 species